CGAACGCUGGCGGCGUGCUUAACACAUGCAAGUCGAACGGUGAAGCGCCUUCCUUUUUGGUGGGUGUGGAUGAGUGGCGACCGGGUGAGUAACACGUGAGUAACCUGCCCCCUUCUUCUGGAUAACCGCAUGAAAGUGUGUCUAAUACGGGAUAUUCUGGGUCUGUCGCAUGAUGGGUCUGGGAAAGAUAUUGUUUCGGUGGGGGAUGGGCUCGCGGCCUAUCAGCUUGUUGGUGGGGUGAUGGCCUACCAAGGCGGUGACGGGUAGCCGGCCUGAGAGGGUGGACGGUCACACUGGGACUGAGACACGGCCCAGACUCCUACGGGAGGCAGCAGUGGGGAAUAGUGCACAAUGGGCGCAAGCCUGAUGCAGCGACGCCGCGUGAGGGAUGGAGGCCUUCGGGUUGUGAACCUCUUUCGCCAGUGAAGCAGGCCUGCCUCGUUUGUGGGUGGGUUGACGGUAGCUGGAUAAGAAGCGCCGGCUAACUACGUG
rnacentral:rRNA from 1 species